UGGCUUCAGCAGCACGUAUACUAAAAUUGGAACGAAACAGAGAAGAUUGGCAUGGCCCCUGUGCAAGGACGACAAGCAAAUUCACGAAGCGAUGCAUAAGAAA